ACAUGCGGCGUUGCACCUUACCGAAAUCCCAGAGUCAAAACAUGUAUCACAUGUCAUGUAUCAGAUGUCAUGUGUCAGAUGGCUAUGAAACAUUCCUGUGUAACUCACUACCCAUGUAAUUAGGAAUUAUGAGUUAGACAUCACAGACUUUGCUGAGCAUGUAUCAGACAUUCUGUAAAAGGUGUAUGUGCGCAUGGGCUUGUAACUUGACAGGGCUUGUAAUUAACUCAUCACUAUGUUGCAGUUAAAAAUGCAGAAUAUACAUAUUCGUACAUCACUUAUGUUUUUCUCUUGAUGGUAGCUCUUGGAUAUUGCACAGCAGUGCCAAUUCAAACAUCUGCUAUUUCCUGCUGCCCCCCACUGGGGCCAGAAAAUAUUGCACUGCUCAUGAGAAUUAGGAAUUGUACAUUUGCACUGAUUUGGUAGACUAGCCAACGAUGGUGGAUAAAUGAAGGCAACUCACUCAGGCUGUUAACCAUUGGAGGCAUGAGGACUGCAGAUGUGGCCAGGGCAAAAAAUUGCAAUGUCCUUACUGUGAGAAGCCUAAGACAGCGCUACAGGGAGACAGGAUGGACGGCUGAUCAUCCUCGCAGUGGCAGACCACAUGUAACAACACCUGCACAGGAUCGGUACACCCGAACAUCACACCUGCGGGACAGGUACAGGAUGUCAACAACAACUGCCCGAGUUACACCAGGAAUACACAAUGCCUCCAUCAGUGCUCAGACUGUCCGCAAUGGGCUGAGAGAGGCUGGACUGAGGGCUUGUAGGCCUGUUGUAAGGCAGGUCCUCACCAUACAUCACCGGCAACAACUGGACCAGGCAGGACUGGCAAAAAGUGCUCUUCACUGACGAGUCGCGGUUUUGGACUGAGCUUGUUGUCAUUGCAGGCAAUCUCAAUGCUGUGUGUUACAGGGAAGACAUCCUCCUCCCUCAUGUGUUACCCUUCCUACAUGCUCAUCCUGACAUGACCCUCCUACCAAAGCAAGGUACUGUGGGGUGUUUGUUUUGAUGGUAAGAUGCUGGCUAUUCUUUAUAUUAUAUUAGUCCUAUUUUCUGUGGUUAUAACAUAUGAAAAGUUAUUAUUUCUGUGCUUGUAGCAUGCAAAGCACACUAUUGUUAGUGCUCAUACUUUUCUUGUUUAUUUAUCUUGACACUUUUUGGUACCUAUUUUCUACAGUUUUUACACAACAUACACAAUUCAUACAUCACACUCCUGCAGAGCUGGAUGCUGAUGUGACAUGCUGUGACUUCUUGGAGGGUCACGUCUUCUCCAUCAUCCUGAAAUAUAUAUAUUCUUUGUUAUUAUUUACGAUUAUCAUUGUUAUCAUAACUGUAAAAUGAACAACCUACUCUUUCUUAACUUACAGCACACUGUACAUUUCAAUGGAAGCACAGUGUGAUUUCACUGAGAUAUGUAUAAAUUAUGAAAUUCUCAUCACUAGUGGACAUACGUUUUUUGGGGAUACCCGUCCGAUUGUGUGAUAUUCUUUCACAAAGGAAAACAUGCAGAAUAUUAGGCGACGGUGGUGCCAUGUUCUCCUGCAGAACUUUCCCCAAUGCCGCCAGUCUAGAACAUUAUAAAGACCUUUCAUUUGCAUCCUUAAAAUCACUUGUUUCACUGUAGCCAGACUGUACUGAAUAUAUGUUCAUACUUAAUGUCUGUCAUUCACUCACUAAGGUCUGAAGAAGAGAGGUUGAAAGAUCAAAAAAGGCGGCGAAAACAAAACACACUACAGGAUGAUGUAGAAGACGUGCCGCCCCCAAGAAGUCACAGCAUGACACAUCAGCAUCCAGCUCUGCAGGAUCAGACGAUACUGAAAACAAAAUGCACGGCGAACUGGGAGCUGUGAACUGGGAAGCAGAUGUUCUUCUAAGGGACACCCUAGAGGCAGCAAGGUGGUGCGAACGCCAAACAUUUAAAGGCACCGUUUACCUCUCAGGUGUAAUUGGGAUGGACGGGGAAGACCGCAUUACAACCCUUAAAGAACUACAGUUGUAUGAUGGCCUGGAUGAAGAGGACAUUAUUCUCCUCAAGGAACCGUUCAUGUUUCAGUUACAGAGAGAUGAUGAGAUGUGCUAUGUGUUGACAACAAGAAAAUGACUAUCUUUGCCUCUUUUGAAGAGCAGGGUUGAAGCGGUUGGUCAAACCUGGUUUUUGUCUGCUGUGUUAAUCGUUUCAAUUGUUAAUUGUGUUUAUGUUGUUUAGUAAAGAUGACGUAGAAGUCACCCGAGUCUCUUUUUCAACCAGCUCAGGCAUCACACAAUCACAAAUAGCGAUAAAAUAAAUCACUUACCUUUGAAGAUCUUCCUCUGUUUGCAAUCCCAAGGGUCCCAGCUACACAAUGAAUGGUCGUUUUGUUCCAUAAAGUCCUUCUUUGUAUCCAAAAAAGUCUGUUUAGUUGGCAUCAUUGAUCUCAGUAAUCCACUUGUUCAACAUGCAUGCAAACAAAUCCAAAAAGUUACCAUUAAAGUUUGU